rnacentral:rRNA from 1 species
AUUGAACGCUGGCGGCAGGCCUAACACAUGCGAGUCGAGCGGUAGAGAGAAGCUUGCUUCUCUUGAGAGCGGCGGACGGGUGAGUAAAGUCUAGGAAUCUGCCUGGUAGUGGGGGAUAACGUUCGGAAACGGACGCUAAUACCGCAUACGUCCUACGGGAGAAAGCAGGGGAUCUUCGGGCCUUGCGCUAUCAGAUGAGCCUAGGUCGGAUUAGCUAGUUGGUGAGGUAAUGGCUCACCAAGGCGACGAUCCGUAACUGGUCUGAGAGGAUGAUCAGUCACACUGGAACUGAGACACGGUCUAGACUCCUACGGGAGGCAGCAGUGGGGAAUAUUGGACAAUGGGCGAAAGCCUGAUCCAGCCAUGCCGCGUGUGUGAAGAAGGUCUUCGGAUUGUAAAGCACUUUAAGUUGGGAGGAAGGGCAUUAACCUAAUACGUUAGUGUUUUGACGUUACCGACAGAAUAAGCACCGGCUAACUCUGUGCCAGCAGCCGCCGUAA